GCAUAUCAAUAAGCGGAGGAAAAGAAACCAACAGGGAUUGCCCCAGUAACGGCGAGUGAAGCGGCAAGAGCUCAAAUUUGAAAGCUGGCUCCUUCGGGGUCCGCAUUGUAAUUUGCAGAGGAUGCUUCGGGAGCGGUCCCCAUCUAAGUGCCCUGGAACGGGACGUCAUAGAGGGUGAGAAUCCCGUAUGGGAUGGGGUGUCCGCGCCCGUGUGAAGCUCCUUCGACGAGUCGAGUUGUUUGGGAAUGCAGCUCUAAAUGGGUGGUAAAUUUCAUCUAAAGCUAAAUAUUGGCCGGAGACCGAUAGCGCACAAGUAGAGUGAUCGAAAGAUGAAAAGCACUUUGAAAAGAGAGUUAAAAAGCACGUGAAAUUGUUGAAAGGGAAGCGCUUGCGACCAGACUCGCUCGCGGGGUUCAGCCGGCAUUCGUGCCGGUGUACUUCCCCGCGGGCGGGCCAGCGUCGGUUUGGGCGGUCGGUCAAAGGCCCUCGGAAGGUAACGCCCCUCGGGGCGUCUUAUAGCCGAGGGUGCAAUGCGACCUGCCCGGACCGAGGAACGCGCUUCGGCUCGGACGCUGGCAUAAUGGUCGUAAACGACCCGUCUUGAAACACGGACC
rnacentral:rRNA from 1 species